UAUGGCUAUAUCAUGUUGAAGCACCAGUUCUCAUACAAUCACUGAAGUUAGGCAACAUCAAGCCUGGUCAGUACUUAGUUGGGUGACCGCUUGGGAUGUGCAGGUGUGGUA